AACUGGGCGACUCGCAACUUGUGCUGCAGGUCACGGAUCAUCUGCUGGUACACUAAAAUGUCCUCAUCCUUUGCAGAGAGCACUUUCUGCGAAUGAACAUCAACUCAUGAACACAUUCUCAAGAAAAGAUAAAGGUGAAGAGGAGAGGACAAGAGAAGCUUUGGCAAUUGCGUGGCGGCUACGUGCCUCUCUUUUCAACGACUUGACCUCGUCCUCGGCUGCUUCUGCUCGCAGGACCAACUGCAAGAGGGCACAGCAAGCACACGCAUAACAAACUGCGAUUGUAGUUCUACUGCUUAUUGCCUUUCACAGUUGCGUCUCCAGCUGACGGAUUUCAUUCCUCAGGAAGCGAUUGUCUGUCCCGCCACCACCAUAUCUGCUCUUUGCGUACUGAGAACAGACAAAACAACAACAACA